UACGGAGGGGGCGAGCGUUAUUCGGAAUUAUUGGGCGUAAAGGGCGCGUAGGCGGCUUCAUAAGUCAAAGGUGAAAUCCCUCGGCUCAACUGAGGAACUGCCUUUGAAACUGUGGAGCUUGAGGCCGGGAGAGGGUAGCGGAAUUCCCAGUGUAGCGGUGAGAUGCGUAGAUAUUGGGAGGAACACCAGUGGCGAAGGCGGCUACCUGGACCGGUUCUGACGCUGAGGCGCGAAAGCGUGGGUAGCAAACAGG
rnacentral:rRNA from 1 species